CCAGAUGGCUAAUUAUAGCUCCCAGAAACAAAAGGCCACACCCAAGUUUACUGCAAUCGCCUCAUAAGGAAUGUUAGGAUGAAAUCAUGGUCCCAUAAACUCGACAGCAAAACCGCAGACCCUCCAUUGGUUGCGAAAUAAACUCCAAAUCAAAAUUAAAAUUUUGAUUCAUUUAAAGAUUCAUGCCACUUUGUUUCCCAGGAGAGGACACAAAAUACUUUGCGAUCAUUGAAAAACUCAAAAUGAUUUAGGAACAUGCUCUUUGUUUCCAGAUUCCCUUUCCACGCUUUUCAUUUUCUUGGGCUUUAUUUUUCCAAGUUGAAUAUCUAUAAACACAUUGCUAAGCCAAAAAAUUAGAUCGUUUGCAACAAUAGUGAAGAAUCUAAAGGUCUAAAUGUUCAAUAAUAGGGUAUUGUUUUAAAAAUAUGAAAUAUCUACAUUAAAGACUUCUAUACAGCCAUUCAAAAAUCAUGUUUCUACACCAACCAUACAACCCAGCCAUUCCACUCCUAGGUAUUUGCCCAAGAGAAAAGAAAGCAUAUGUCCAUACAAAGACUUGUACAGGAAUGACCAAAGCAACUUGGUUUACAAUACCCCAAGGCUGGAAACAACCCAAAUGUCCAUCAGCAGAUGAGUGAAUUAAAAAAUACUGGGAUAUCCAUAAAAUGGAACACCAUUGAGCAAUGAAAAGAAAUAAACUAUUAAUAAAUCAACAGCAUAGAAGAAUCUCUAUGUUGAAUGAAAAAAAUCAGACAAAAAACGUACAUACCUAUUUAACAUUCUAGAACAUAAAAACUAUAGUUAAGUAGUAACCUGAGGAUGGGAGAUGGGGUGGGAAUAGGGUGAGGAGGAGGAGGAGGAAGAAGAUUACAAAGAGGCAGAAGGAAAAUGCUGGGUGAUGGGUAUUUUCACUAUACUGACAUACAAAUGAUUUAUUGGAUAUAUAUAGAUGUCAAAACUUAUCUUGUACACGUUAAAUACUGUCAAAGAUAAAUAAGACUGGACACUAGUAAAAGUGGUAAGGACAGAUUUUAAUCAGUAAUACACUAUUGCAAUAGGGAAAAGGGUCCAGUGUAAACUGAAUUCAACUUCAAUUUCUAGAGAGGUGACUGGGCAUUGUAAGGGGAGAAUGAGGGAAUAGAAGAGGGGACAGUGGCUGCUCGGUAGAGUAGGGAAGUGAGAAAUAAAAACCAGGAAGCAGGGUUGGUUCAUGUGAAACUCAUCUGGUUUUGCUAACUGACACAGAAGUUAGGCUCCUAUCCUCCCACAGAGACUGGGAGACGGGGGCCCUAAUUUAGGAUUGGCUACAAGAAAGUAUUCUUUUUGCAGCCUGGAGUUUUCUCAGGCAGGUAUUUUAAGAGGGUGCUAGGGUCAUCUUAGGCUUGCAGCCUUGAGCUAUUAGAAACUAUGUUAAUGUUUGUUCAAGUCUUCAUAGGCCAAGGUUAAGGCCUGGUCAAGAAGAGGGCUGGGAGGAGCCUGGCUGGAGUUUAGUCAAGGAGAGAAUCUUUGUCAAUAUGUGCAGUUUAUGAAUGUCAAUAAUACCUCAAAAAGCUGUUUUUUAAAAAUCGUGUAUUAG
rnacentral:lncRNA from 10 species